AGAUCGAAUAAUUCAUUCUUCUUCCAAGUUCUUCUUUCUUCUUUUCUCUUUUAUUUCUCUUCUGUUCUUUCUUUUCUUCUCCUCCUUCUCUGUUCUCGUCUGCUAAUGAAAGUUUGUAAAUCAAAUUCAAGUUUUUGAGAUCGUAACAAGAAGGAAGAUAUCAAGGAUUGGUUGCAGGUGGUGAAGAUGGUUGUGCAAUUGAAGUAUAUUCUAAAAUUAAGUUAAUCAGAGAGAAACAAGUUAGGGUUUGUAAAUCAACUAUUGGAUUCGUAUGGAAUGGAUAGGUUAAUUAGGUUGUUGAUGGAAAUAGAAGGGUUGAGGUUUAAUUACAGUUCUGAAGUUGUUUUGAGAUGAUGAAAGAAAUAUGGUUUCUGAAAUUAGGAUUUGUGGAUUUGAUUGAUGUUCUGAAGACUUAGAAGAUGAAAUUAGAGUUGUAGAUGAAUGAUUAUAGAUGGGUAUGACAUGAAAUAGGGGAUACGGAAGUUAGGGUUUUGAGUUCGGUUUUAGGCUUGCAUGAGAUUGAGAAGAUGAAAUUGAAGAUCUAAAGAAGUGAUUAGAGAUGGGUUUGACGUGAAUUAUAAUAUUGAUUGAAGUAGAGUUGUGUUAGCAGUGAAGAUGGAUUGAAUUUAACAUUUAGGGUCCUCGUUUUCUUCCCCAAAGUGGAGAUAGGGUUGCAGUAGAAUUGAAUUGGGGGGGAAAGAAAUUAGGUGGAUGCUGGUUCUUGGAUAAGAUUCUAAUUUCAUUUAAGAUUGGAAUUUAAGUUUAAAUUGCUUAGAUUAUUGAAUUAAUGUUUUGUAAAUGGUACUGUUUUGAGUUAUGAGUUAUUAUUAAAGAUGCAAUGAAAUUGGGAUUGUUUGAGAAACUUGGUGUUGAGAAGGGUGUGGAUUGGAACUGUGAAUUGUAUGAAUUAGAGGGAGGCAAGCUGAAUGAUGUAAUGCAGUGGCUGGUGGAGUUUUAGAAACUACAGGUUGAUGUUAAUUGAAGUAUUAAUGAACUCUCAAUUGAGUUAGAUGAAUGGGGUAUGUGAUGGAGAUGAGAUUGUUUAUCCAGUGAUGCUGAAUUGAAAUUCAACUGAAGUUAAUUGGUGUUGCAGGGAAUUAGUAUAAGUUGAGAUUAGUGGUUGUGUUUGAAUGGCUGCAAGUGAAUGUAUUGGUGCGGAGUUGCUUUAGUUAAGUUUCAGUUGCAGUUAAUUUUACAGGUUGAGUCUCAGUUUAUUGGUACCAGGGUGUUGGUGUUGAAAUGAAUGAUGGUCUUAAAUUCCAGAUGAUGAAACAUAAGUUAGUGAUUUGGUAAUAAAGAUUUCAAGUUGUAACUGAGUAGUGCUGGGGGUCAAGGUUUGGUGGUGUAGAUGUAAAGAAGAUGUUAGAAUAUAAAUGGAACUGUUUUGUUGGUGGCAGUAUAGUUGAUAAUGAUGCUGCUAUGACAAAGUUUCUAUGACUGUGACUGAAAGAAAGUUGGAUGAAUGUUGUUGCAGCUGUGAAGAUUGCAGUUAUGUUGAUUGCUGUAGAACUGGAGUGAGGUUACAGUUCAAGAGGUGUUGUUAGUAUUAUGGAUUAUUAAUGGUGUACUGUUGAUUCAGUUGGGUACUGGUGUGUGUUGAGUUAGAAGAGUGGUAAAGAUGUGAGAGUGGUGAUUGUGGAAUCACAAUUGGUAGUUCUUUGAGAGCUUGCAGCUACUGCUAUUGCAGUUAGUCUAUAUUAACAACGAUCGAGUUCGAAGGACGAACAGUUGGAUAAUGGAUCUCGAGGUAGGCGUGGCUUGUCAUCAAAAAGAGUUUCAGAGACAGAUCAAAAUUACGCAGCGAAAGCCUCAAGGGUUGAUUCGUUAGUUGGUUAACUUCUUUUAUGUUUAUUAUAUUUCAUAUUGUAUUUGUAAACCAAAUGACUAUUGUAUAUGUAUCAUUUGAGAGGAUUUCUUGUGUUUAUAUGUUUCA